rnacentral:rRNA from 1 species
AUACGAAGGGGGCUAGCGUUGCUCGGAAUGACUGGGCGUAAAGGGUGCGUAGGUGGAUAUUUAAGUGAGAUGUGAAAUCCCCGAGCUUAACUUGGGGCCUGCAUUUCAAACUGGAUAUCUAGAGUGCAGGAGAGGAGAAUGGAAUUCCUAGUGUAGCGGUGAAAUGCGUAGAGAUUAGGAAGAACACCAGUGGCGAAGGCGAUUCUCUGGACUGUAACUGACACUGAGGCACGAAAGCGUGGGUAGC